rnacentral:rRNA from 1 species
UACGUAGGGUGCAAGCGUUAAUCGGAAUUACUGGGCGUAAAGCGUGCGCAGGCGGCUUUGCAAGACAGAUGUGAAAUCCCCGGGCUUAACCUGGGAACUGCAUUUGUGACUGCAUGGCUGGAGUGCGGCAGAGGGGGAUGGAAUUCCGCGUGUAGCAGUGAAAUGCGUAGAUAUGCGGAGGAACACCGAUGGCGAAGGCAAUCCCCUGGGCCUGCACUGACGUUCAUGCACGAAAGCGUGGGGAGCAAACAGG